ensembl:lncRNA
CUGAUCAUUCGGGACAGACAGCAUAUCAUUCGGGACAGGCCUGAAGGAGACAGGCAGCAUAUCAUUCGGAAAAGGCCUGAAGGAGACAGACAGCAUAUCAUUCGGGACAGGCCUGAAGGGGAGAGAGACAGCAUAUCAUUCGGGACAGGCCUGAAGGAGACAGACAGCAUAUCAUUCGGGACAGGAGUGUGAAUCAUUAACAAGUGACUGUUGAAACCUCUGGGCCACAUGAUGCAAACCACGUCCAACUAAUCCAGAGCUGUUUGGACAUGUGACACAGAUACCAGCCUGGUUCCACUGUGCCGUUGACUAGAGAUCACUCACUAUACAUUGUGGUAGUUGUGUGAAGUUGGCCUUAGUUUAACCAAGCAAACAGGGUUGUAAAUAAUGUUAAUGUUUAUGCAGGACUAAUUGUUGUCGAUGAUGUGUCUUUUCCCUGUACACUCAGGGCGAGUUUCCCGGACAACAAAUCCUGGACUAAAAAGUCUAAAUCAAUGGAUAAUCUCCAUUUUUGAAAGUCCAAGAUUAUUCUUUGUUCGGGAAACCGUCCCUUGAAGACAAAGUAGGUAGCUACUAGCUAGUUAAUGAGGUAACACUUGACUGGAUGGUUCCACUGUCUGUAGGCCUGAAUAUCAUGGUUAUAAUUACCACAUAAAGGAUAUGACUCAGUAUGUAGACCUAAAGGUUGCGCCUGUAACAACUACCUUUACUCUGUAAUGACACAACAAACCAUUACCCAUCAGGCCCCUCUCCCAGACAUGCAUUUUGCCUCGUCUUGGACUAGAAAGCAAGCUGAAGGGAGAAUCUCCGUUGAAAGAGCUUUUUGGUCCAGGGAAUCUGCUCAUGGUGAUAUAAAUGGGGUGGUUUGCAUAGUUUUCUAAGAUUUAUAAUGUGUAAUGACCGUGAUGAGUCUGUUUCUUUAGCACCGGCAUUGAGGCCUAUGACGACACCCACCUGUUACCAAUAGCCGAAUGUGGAUGUCGUAUAUCCACUAUAGUCCCUAGUCUUUCAGAAGUGGCAUGUUCCACACUACCGUCAAUUCUAUAAUAUAUGGAUAUGUUAACAUAUAUAUAUUUAAUGUAGAUCUGUGUAUGGAUUUAGGCUGACUAAGGCACUUUAAAAAUGAAAACUGUUUGCAUCGGUUUGUUUUCUAGUUAAAAUGUCAGAAAAUGGAUAGUGUGUUAAGACGUCACUAUACUGUACCAUCCUGAAACAUAAACGCAUUAAGAAUGAUCAACCCUUUCUAUUUGCCAUCAGACCCGAUCUACUUGUAUUUAAGAAGGAGAAAGUGGUUUUAUUUCGGUAGCUAGCUGUGAAUUUAAAGUAGAAGAACUAUUGAUGGCACGAGAGAAACAAUCUAUGGCAGUAUUUAGUAACAGAAUCAUCUGUAGCUCAGUGUACCAGGGUCAACUGUGGUCUUAUGACAUCACUUCCUGGUCAGACAAAGUAGCCUAGGUUCAUUGUAAGAUUUAUUAAUAAAAGAAUAGCAGUACCAUCUCUAUGUUCAUGUUCACCUCUCUUCGAUAUGCAGUGUUGUUGUUUACCAUAAUGUCAAGCCUCAAAUCAUUAGGUUUGUUUUUGGUAAACAACAGUCACUUUGACAAGCUAGGAUUCUGUCUCUUUUUAUAAUGUGCUUAAAUGUGUAAAGCAACAAAAUGCAUAAUACACUUACAUAGUUUCUUGAAUGUAGUGCUGGCUAACGAUCCAGGGUUCUUUUUUUUCAGGACUGAUAUAUCAUUGGUUAAGCUCUCACUAUGAACAUUAGGCAUCAGUGAUUGGGUGAAUGGCUGCUCUCACUAAGAACAUUAGACAUCAGUGAUUGGGUGAAUGGCUGCUCUCACUAUGAACAUUAGACAUCAGUGAUUGGGUGAAUGGCUGCUCUCACUAAGAACAUCAAGCAUCAGUGAUUGGGUGAAUGGCUGCUCUCACUAAGAACAUUAGGCAUCAGUGAUUGGGUGAAUGGCUGCUCUCACUAAGAAC